rnacentral:lncRNA from 1 species
AGAUUUACUGUUAUCCUUUUUUAAUGAUGUAUUAAUCAAUUUUAAUUUAUAUUAUGUUCCUGUUAAUUAAGAUAAUAUAGCUCCCAAAAGAAAAGAAAUCGAAUCAAGUCCAAGUAAAGGAACAAGUGAAGCAGCUAGGCUAUAUCGAUCACUCUAUGAGCUUGCUUUACAAGCGUUAUCUCCAUCGGGAGUAGAAGAUAAUGAACACGGG